UGGUGAUCGUUGAUCCAUAACGCGAAUAUAAUUAGUGUAAAGAUACCGACAUCACCAGGACACGAUAAUAUCAGCGUAUCGACCUUCGAUGAAGAUAACUGCAUUGUUGGCGAAGUUGAGAUAACGUUUCUACGCAGUUCAUAUCCGGAAGUCGUAGACAAGUACGUAAAUCUUGCUCGUGAAAGCUUCGAAAUUUUCAUUAAUAUAUUAAUAGAUAAUUCUGAGUUUUUAAAUUGAUCAUUCCUGGAAAGAAUAAUCGUAAUUUUGAAUAAAUCUUAUUUCGAAAAAGUGAUUGGAUCUUUCAAGAAUUAAUAUGAAACUGAUAUUUUUUUAUAUAUCGUUUCUGAUACGAAGUAACAAGAUCAAUAUUUAAAAAUUCAGCAAAAAUCUGGUGGAAAAAUCAAAUAUCGAAUUUGAUUGGUGCGAGAAGAUGAGAAGUGGAAUCGAAAGCAGGUUUUUUCGAGUUUUAUUUAAAUUCUAUUUCUCUUGUUUUCAACAGUGUUCUCUUUUUUUGCCACGUGCUUUAUUCUUUUGUCGAUCACACGACUUCAACACGUGUAAAAUUAUUUAUUAUUAGUUAAUCAUAUGAAUUAUCUCUACUUUCUAACGAAGGAAAGGAACUUUUUCGAGUAUGUUCGUUAAGCAUGAACAUAUAAUAAUUUAAUUAUUAAUCGGUGAGAGUAUCAGACUCGGAGAGUUUUUACGCGACAGCAAAUUGGCUCGUUCGCAUGCCUCUUUAAUGGAGUUAUAAAUGGUGUGAAUUUCGAAUAUUCAUCAAAUACGAUGAUUUAUAAAUAUCGACUUCGAUUUGCGUCAAGGAUUUCUUCCUCGAAAGUUAUUUCAGACAGAUCCCUGACGUUUAAAAAAAAUUUGAAAUGAAAGAUGACAAAUGAAAAAGAAAAGAACGAAUGAUUGUUCCAAAUAAAUUAAUUUGCGAACGAAAUUGCGCAAAAAAAAUAUUAUUCGAUAAAUUAAAAGUAAGUAUAAUUAUGUUAGUUGUUCCAUCAUUGUCACGAUUAUUUAUUUCCUACCAGAGAAUUGUAUACUAGCAACAGUAGUAAAAUCUCGUUUUCUCUUCUUAAAUAUUAAAAUAACAAAUAUUAAUGUAUCCAAUUCUUCAAAUGCAUUACCAUUCAAAUAAAAUAAAAUAGUUAUUUGCUCUAACAAUCUCUCGAUCCAACAAACGCAACGGACAAUAUAUCAAGGUAAUACACACGUCGAACAACGAGGAUACAAAACGUUUUGUAUCCACCAUUCAUACGAGUCAAUUACAUUCAAAAAAUAAACGUGUUUAGGAGAUGCAUGUGUUUAUGUCCGGACCAUUGCAUCUCGUUGCGAGAGAGCUCUCUCUCAUCUACACUUUUAUGUUCGUCCGUCCGCCUCGAAAACGAGACAGACAGCCGGCUGAUGACUCGCAAUUUAUUUUCGUCACCCGGCAAUACUUGAAUCGUGAUUUCUACCUUACCGUAAGUAAUACACGUGCACGAGUCCUUCGCCAAUAUGUCGUUCACCAAUGGAGAAAUAAUUCUUUAAAUGUCAGACGAUUAUUAUUCGCGUAUUAUGCAAGGACAGAAGAAGAGAGGGGCUCGAUUGGGUGAUUUCCGUGACGAAGAUUGUAUCGUAUGUUGGAUUCAAUUCAGAGGGUAUGAAUAGACGCAGAGUCGUGUCAAUCGCGCAAUUAACAAAGAAAUUAUAAUUGAUCCUUAAUUGACGAACAAAAUGUUAUAUGGCCAAAUAUUGAAAGGAUCGAAAAAUCACGCUAUCGUUAAUAUUUUGACGGUUUGAAAAGAUACAUCACUCGGGCUAUUGGAGAAUAUUCGAAGUAUAAACAUUCGUGGAAUUCGACGAACCCAUUAUUCAUAACAGUCAAAACAUUUCGUAGUAUCGGAAACGAGAAAAGUUUCUUACGAAACGCGUUAUUGAAUAAUAAUUGGAAUUAUUACUCUCCAAUAGUAUCGAUCGAAUUUAUCGAUGUUGGUUGGGGAAAAACAACGCUUCUCGGAACUAAACUAUUAUGAAAUCGACAAGACACGCAACUACGUGGUUUAACGCAUUAACAUGUUCUAAUUAACCUCGGUGGUAGAGAGUGGAAGAUAAGAUUGGAUAAUAAGUAUAUCGAUUUUGAAAUAGCUGCUUAAACGGGAAUUUAUCGAAUGAAAGAUCGCAAUGCUCGAACGCAUUCUAAAUUUAUCGCCGAUCGUAACACGUGGUUUCCUUUUCGUGCUUUCUUUUUCGAUUCCUUGCGUUCGAUAGAAAGUAAGGAAUUCAGAAGGGAGAGCCGAUAAGUGAAAAAAAUCUCUGGAUGAUUUAAUGGGAGGCCGGUUUUUAAGGUUACGCGAAGUCGUAAUAAUUUGAACUCUGCACAGUGGACCCUGAAGAGAGAAGAAUGGAGGGAGAGGAAGAAAGGGGAACAAAGAGAGGACAAAGCUUUCUCGCCGAUUAGAAUCAGGGAUCCGGUUUCUGUUCGAUCGCGAUUUCUCACACCGCGGACCUUGAUAACUGUCUGAAAAAAAAAGAAAAACGGGAAAUAUCGUUUAGACGAGCGUUCGUUCGAGUGAAACCGCACGGCAGAAGAAACUACGUUACGUCACUGUCGCUAUUUCUUUUUUUUUUCUUUUUUCUUUUGUCGACUUUCGAGUUUGCUAUUGGAAAUUGAACGAUACUUGCACAAUUCCGUGGAUGGGGAAAUUCCGGGGCAGAAAAAUGGCAAGAGCGACGGUGCACGGCGAAAGGAAUCGAUCAUUCGUGGGAAUUUGUAUCGUGGUGAAUUUUGAUGCUUUUAAGUAGAAGCGGAAUGGAAUACGUCAGACACGUUUUUUCUUUUUUUUUUCUUGCAAGUUUUUGGGAGAAUUUGAAAUGUGAGGUGAUAGUAUUGGAGAUACGAAGUAUGUAAGAAUUUUAGAAAUGAAAAUUCCAUUGUCAUCCAUAACAAAAGAGAAUAAACAAUUUCGUCAAAUUUUUAAAAUAAAAGAUAUUACGUUCGAAUAUACGUUCAGCUGAAGGUGAUAGAUUUUUAAACUCAUGUUGCAAAAUUUCGACAAGGAAAUUCAAUCUUCUUUUUCGAGCAUUCCAGAAAACGCAAGAACGCGCAAAAGUUUAACACGAUACUUAAUAGAAUCACGUCUCUAUCUCUCUCUCUCUUUCUCUCCCUUUCCAUCGAUUUCCCAAUGAAAAACCGGCAUCGAAAGGGGAAACGAUACCUAAAGGGGAUCAAGUCGCGCAGAUUCUUUCGGAUCAGGUUUCUUAAGGCUCGCGCUCUUCCAACUUCACCUUGAAAAAUUUAAAAAACCAACGAGAGAAAUACCAACGAUCCUACCGAUCAAACAUUCAGGAAGUUCGGUUAGAUUAAUUAGAAAAACUAGAUUCUUUCGACAAGCAACACCACGAUCAUCGUCAAUUCCAAAUCGGUAUCGAAGUUUUACACACCGAAGUGAACAUCGACCGCCUUUUAUCCCUUUUGUGUCUCAGAAAGCCGGAUUGGCCGGAAGGAAAAUCCAAUUAUCGUUACGUAAGGAGCGCGUGGUUAAUAAUCGUUUAUCGUUCGAUCAGGUCGGCGACACAGUCGUUGAAAGCGAUAUCGUAAUGGCCCAUUCAAUUUUUUUCCAUCUCCGUAAUCGUCGAUUAUUUCACGAGACUAUAGGUCGUGUCUGUAAUGCCACCUUCGAUUCUUGGCCAGGGGGCCUCCAUCGAUAAAAGCGGAAGGCCGGUACCGUUGUCACGAACACGAACGAGUGCAACGAGUCUGGAUAGGUUUCGUUCGAUCGGCGACCGCGUGGUGGCCAAGUAGUGAUGCAGAAAGCGUGACACAGUUUCUUGGGCCAGCGAUCGUGGGACAAUCGCCGCGGAAAUGGAGAGUGAUCCAAGUUAUCUAUGUAAGUGCAGUACACGUUCCAUAUAUUUUCACAGCGACCACCAGCAGCGUUUGUAAAUAUUAAUGUUUCAAUUCAAUGUUACUUUCAAAAUUACUUUUAUGCAAAAUUUAUUUAAUAUUGAGACGCUGUAUAUCGAUUGGGAUAUAUAUCGAUACAUAUAUCGAUAUGCAACGUUUUAACGAAGAUAAUUUUUUGAACUCUGUUAUAAUAAAUAUAAAUAUUUAUAGAAGCAAAAUUCAAAUGAUAUCUCUAUGUUCGAUCUGAUUAAGAAACGUUAAUAAGAAUUUAUGCAAAUAUCGAAUCCUAUUUAUCAAUAAAAUUUCCUUUCAUCGCGUAUAAUAUAAUCCCCAUAACAUUUUUAGAAAGAAAGUAUUUAAUGCUAAUUUCGAGAAUUUUUCUCCUUCUAAGAGACGAACGUAUCGAAUAUUCGAAUAUUCUAUCAAUCUAAAUAAAUACAAGUAGCUUCCACAGAAGUUUCCACAACCUUUCUAAUAUGGAAGUUACUUUCUUAUACUACUACGAGAAAAAUAACUUUUAUCUCGUCAGCCAAUCGAUCGGCACGGUGAUUUACAAGAGACCAGUAUUACCCAAUUAAUCUUCAUUUAUUACAUCCAUUUACGAUGCCUUUUUACAAUCCGUCAUUAAUUCUUUCUCCUCGAUUCGUAGAAGAAUAAUAAAUUCGCUUAAUAAGACUUAAUAAACCUUUUCUGAGAGAUAUGCAUCGAGUCUGCUAACUGUCGUGUAAAUUAAUCUUACGACCAAAUAGAAUUUACAUUCGUGUUCAAUCAUAUCUAAAAAAAAUUCCUCCCAUUAAUAAGAUUCCUCUUCAAAAAUUUGGAUUUUCCCCUCGUCGCUCGAUCCUUCCUUGCUCGCGAUCACUCGAACCUUGGCCAUAACCGGAGAAGAUCUAUGAUUCGAAACGAUGUUGCGAACUGGAGCGCACUAACGAGCGGAGAAUCUGGCGAAUCUACGCCGAUUCCAAGGCCGUAUCACCGUUCACGCGGUUAUUGUAUUACGUGCGAAACAGUUUCACGUUCGCGCGAGAGAACAUCCUUCCCUUCGUGUCUCAUCGACCUUGGCAAGUGAAGAUCGACUCGGCUCGUUUCAUCGAUAAAAGAUUGGCCCAUUCGGCUGUCAACGACCGGCAGAAAAGCGGUCGGACUAGUUUCGUAUUUGAGCGUCCACGGAAGGAUCACGGCCUACUGGUUUCGGCCAAUGUCAAGUGCACGACAGCGCCCCACCUCUUCAAUAUCCGGUUUCAAUGGAUCCUUCCACAGGUGUCGUUCGCCUUCGAAAAUUUCUUUUCUUUACUCGAUGCCGAGAACCCGUUCUCGUGCAUAAGAUCAAUCGAAGCGGAAUAAUGCUCGAGGCGUGGAAGAAAAGAGGGCAUUUGCGGAAAUAUUUUUCGAAUUUUAACGUUCUUCUUCUUUUUUUUUUAGAGAGAGCAGAAAAGAGAAGCAGAUAUUGGCACGCGUACGCUUUUUAAGACUGGAAACCAAAUUCAUCAAUUGAAAAUUUCCAAAUCGAAUUUCCUAUGAAACUCAAAAGAACUUGAUCCAAUGAAUCGCAAAGGGACGGUGCUGGUGUGGAACGAGAAUGAAGACGAAAGAAAAGAAUUUUUUUUAAGGGGAUGUCCAAAUAUGGCGGUGAUCGAGUUAAUUAGACGACUCGAGUUAAGGAAGCAUCGUCUCUGGACUUAAUUAAUGGCUAAUUCAGGGGUUCCAUUGUCGAACUUUCCAUGUUUGUUACGUUCGUCGCACUCAUCGUGAACGUUUGUAAUACAAGCGUGGCUAAUUGAACGCGGUUGUUCGUUGUCUCAAAUUCGUCGAUUGUAUUUAAUUAAUAGCUGCGCGUUUGGGGAUCGGUUUGACCGGUUCACCAGGGAUUCGCGUGAUUGAAGCGAGAGCCCGCGCCUCGUGAAUUAUUUACGCGCGUGUAAUUUUGGCAAAACGUGUCCUAGGCAAGAAGGCUUCCCGUGCGGAGGUUUGGUCACGCUUGGACGUUUUGACCGUUAGAAUUGGUAAUAAGUGAAACGAUUAAGGGAAAAUGGGCAUCUCCUCUUUUUUUUCUCCAAUCCCACUUUAUCACCAUACCGCUUUCCCAACCACCGGUUAACCAAUUUUCAAACCUUUAUAGGAAUUGUGUUGAAAAUGGUAUGGCAUGGGAAAAAAAAGAAACGUGUUCUUUCUUAACGAUUCCCCCGAUUCUGGAUUAAUUUCUCGGUUCACCAGGACUUGAUUAUUAGAUUAUUUGAUUGUAGAGGAUAUUUAUACGUAAAAAGAAAUUAUACAUAAAAAACAUAAUUUCGAACAAAUAUUUAUUGAUUGUAUGGAAGAAAAAUAUGACAAGAAUGACAGGAAUAAUUAUUAUCUAUCAUGUAUAUAUUAGUUAGGGGCUUAAUUAAAUAUAAUAAAUGAUAAUAUAAAAGUUAUCUGGAAAAAUAAUUAUCCAGAGGAUUCUUGAAAUAUUCUUCGUUAAUUUUUUCUCCCAAUAUGUUUGUCCUUGGUUGCAACAAAACGAAGCGUAAUUCAGUAAAACUCGAAAGCGAAAUUUCGCUCGUGCCAAAGACAACAACGCCACGAAAAUAUCAAGACAUUUCGAGGAUCACUCGUAACGCAGAUUGAAAACGUGUUUAAAAACCCUCGUAAAUUAUUCGAUUACUUUCCAUCGAGCCACGAAUGGAGCGCUUAAUGCGUUAACCGUUCGAAACAGAUUUUAUCUGCCGCGUACCACCAUUUCCAGAAAGGUGUAAACAAUCCAACGUGAUGGCUCGAAGUGCAUCCAGUAACCGUAGCACGACUGGAAACGAAACGGCGAUUGUUCCUCGUUGAGGAUGCGGAAGGAAGGCGCGGCGGGUCUCUUUGAUCAUCGAAACCGACGAAUAUAUUUUCGCUCGAAUCUCUUUGGUGCGGAUACGAGGAUCGAGGCCAACGAACGCACGUGAAAGGUGCGUUCGUUCGUUGAGAGACGAAUUCAC